rnacentral:rRNA from 1 species
UACGGAGGGAGCUAGCGUUGUUCGGAAAUACUGGGCGUAAAGCGCACGUAGGCGGCGUCGUAAGUCAGGGGUGAAAUCCCAGAGCUCAACUCUGGAACUGCCCUUGAAACUGCAAUGCUAGAAUCUUGGAGAGGCGAGUGGAAUUCCGAGUGUAGAGGUGAAAUUCGUAGAUAUUCGGAAGAACACCAGUGGCGAAGGCGACUCGCUGGACAAGUAUUGACGCUGAGGUGCGAAAGCGUGGGGAGCAAAC